UCCAGACUCCUACGGGAGGCAGCAGUGGGGAAUAUUGGGCAAUGGGCGCAAGCCUGACCCAGCAACGCCGCGUGAAGGAUGAAGGUUUUCGGAUUGUAAACUUCUGUCGCGAGGGACGAAGAAUGACGGUACCUCGUAAGAAAGCCCCGGCUAACUACGUGCCAGCAGUCGCGGUAAUACGUAGGGGGCGAGCGUUGUCCGGAAUGACUGGGCGUAAAGGGAGUGUAGGCGGCUAUGCAAGUUAGAUGUGAAAUCCCACGGCUCAACCGUGGAACUGCAUCUAAAACUGUAUAGCUGGAGUGCAGGAGAGGUGAGUGGAAUUCCUAGUGUAGCGGUGGAAUGCGUAGAUAUUAGGAGGAACACCAGUUGCGAAGGCGGCUCUCUGGACUGUAACUGACACUGAGGCACGAAAGCGUGGGGAGCAAACAGGAUUAGAUACCCCGGUA
rnacentral:rRNA from 1 species